rnacentral:rRNA from 1 species
AAUAGAUACCCGGGUAGUCCACGCCGUAAACGAUGAGUGCUAAGUGUUAGAGGGUUUCCGCCCUUUAGUGCUGCAGCUAACGCAUUAAGCACUCCGCCUGGGGAGUACGGUCGCAAGACUGAAACUCAAAGGAAUUGACGGGGGCCCGCACAAGCGGUGGAGCAUGUGGUUUAAUUCGAAGCAACGCGAAGAACCUUACCAGGUCUUGACAUCCUCUGACAACUCUAGAGAUAGAGCGUUCCCCCUUCGGGGGGACAGAGUGACAGGUGGUGCAUGGUUGUCGUCAGCUCGUGUCGUGAGAUGUUGGGUUAAGUCCCGCAACGAGCGCAACCCUUGAUCUUAGUUGCCAGCAUUAAGUUGGGCACUCUAAGGUGACUGCCGGUGACAAACCGGAGGAAGGUGGGGAUGACGUCAAAUCAUCAUGCCCCUUAUGACCUGGGCUACACACGUGCUACAAUGGAUGGUACAAAGGGCUGCAAGACCGCGAGGUCAAGCCAAUCCCAUAAAACCAUUCUCAGUUCGGA